rnacentral:misc_RNA from 1 species
AAGCAUAGUGAAGGUCUGGAGAGUUGGCGAAGUUCCCGGGUGUUCGCGGGUCCUACAAUCGAUGGCAAUGGCGUAUUCUGAGAGGAUUUUCCAGGCAGUGCAGAAACAGAGUGCAAUAGUGAUCGCAAAUAGUGACUUGUAGUAUUUGCUGUUUCUGAAUGGGUUCGCUGUGAUUAUAGCUACGUAAACACAGCUGAAAAUCCACAUUUCGUCCGAAUGUGAGCAACUGUGCAGAUGGUAGAUUGGUGAUUUCGGCGCUCUUUCAACGUGUCAUUUCACACUAACUCUGCAAAAACAUUGAUUGACGAGUUUUAGCUCGUUUUAGCAUUGGUUUUAAGUGAUACUAUAGCAGCUAUAGCUGUUGUCAAUUUUUUCCACGUUGGUGCCAUUUUCCAAAUGUGAUCUAACUUAUUCGCAGCGAGUUCUUGCCAGAAUCUAAUCUGGUGCCAAACGUGAAUUUUUCUUCUACAAACUUUUUGGAAAAUCUGCGAUGUCAAAGUGAUUAUAAUCAUUUGAAACAUUUGUGUAGAUUUGAAUUCUUUGUUAAGAUGAUGGCUAAUUAUAAGAGGCUUUGAAUACCAAACCACCCUCUGUAAUCAAAAUAACGCCUGACGAUAUGCAAUUAGCAUUUCUCAACAUUAGGAUUUUUGAAGAGUAGCAGCUGUGAUCACAAAGGCACAUAAUGUAUAACAUGUGGCUUUAGGGCAUUUCACUGAAAACAUUUCGGAACACUGGUAAAACAUGGGUAGCGGCGGGGUUGGAGAGGUCCCCACCAUAUUUCACCCCAGAAGAUCGCGUGCUCCGAGCAUUGUGUUAAACGACGAACAACAAAAUAAUGGACCUUACGCCAGUCCUGUCCAAGUUAUAUUAGAUACAUCAGCUUCAGGAUGUGAACAGCAAGGCUGUAGUGCUAGUGGAGGAUGUUGCGACACUUCAAUAACUUGCAGGUCUGUAGAUCCAGGAGGAGGAGUUCAAAGUCAACAAUCCUGUGUCACUGGUAGUUCUUCGAACUCCCUUUCAACUUGUUAUGCCUCAUGUUGUGCUGAGUCGGCAAAAAAGAUCUACUUCGGUAUAUGUGUGACAAUAUGUGUGACAGCUAGUUGGGUUGGUGCAACUCAUUGUAUGAAAUAUUUAUACUUUCAAAAACCAGAAGCAAUCAAUAAUCAGGGUUCGAUACCUUCAAAUGUGUCCGGACUACAUCAUCAUCAUAUAUCCCUACCGUAUAACGCUCCAUUUUUCACAACGUGGUUCUGUACCAACUGGGCUGUUCUGUAUUUUCCGGUAUACUUUCUAUGCAGAGUAGCAAAAACCAAGUGCUCAAAUCUGUCAGAAAUUGUGGCAGAAAGCCUCCGUGGUUUUCGCGACAAAGGAUUCACUGGCGGACGGUUUUUAACUCGAUGCAGUCUUUUUUGUGGGCUAUGGGUGGUCACAAAUUAUAUGUACAUUCAUUCAUUGAGGAUACUACUAGCCACAGAUGUUAUGGCUCUCUUUGCCACCAAUGUUUGCUGUGUUUACCUUCUUUCUUGGGUCAUUCUUCACGAACAAUUUGUCGGUGUUAGGAUAGUAGCAGUCAUCUUAUGCGAUACAGGGAUUGCAUUACUUGCAUACAUGGAUGGUAUUUCGGGAAGUCCAACUCUUGGUGGUGUUGUACUCGCCACAUCAGCUGCAGCUGGAUCCGCGGUAUACAAAGUAUUGUUCAAGAAAGUAAUAGGAGAAACCACAUUCGGCCAAGUGUCUUUAUUCUUCUCAUUGGUUGGACUUUGUAAUGCUGCCUUGCUUUGGCCAAUUUGCCUUGCCUUAUAUUUCUCUGGAGUCGAAAGUGUGCAAUGGACUCGCUUGCCAUGGCCAGCUCUACUCUCUGCUAGUAUCCUUCACCUGGUAGCAAAUAUGUUGGGAAACUUCAGUAUUGCCUUGACCUACGAUUUGUUCAUAACUCUUGGCCUGAUCACUGCUGUGCCGGUGUCUGCAGCUCUCGACGUGGUACUUUACGGAGCCCACUUCGUUGGUAUGAAGCUAGCAGGGAUGAUUUUAAUAGCUGUGGGAUUUUUCCUCGUAAUGUUUCCAGACAAUUGGCCAGAUUACAUCACGCGGUUACUGCGAAACAUAAUCGCGAUGAGUCACAAUGUAAGUACGACAAGUUCGCAACAUCGUGGGGGUGGCAGAAGCGCGGUGAAUAGAAGCCGAAGACAAUCGAUCCAGCAUCGGCAAUUCAGACGGAACUACGGAGUGUCCUCUACUCAGGGUGACGGACAAACCCUUCUUCCACUCCCUUCUACCAAUAAUACUAACUUGACCCAUCAUCAUAAUAUCAAUACUUCUUCGCCCUCUGAACCUUCACGCCGAGUUCCUACCUCAAUUUCAACCACUACCAACAACCAUCAUCGCUCGCUCAUCGUCCCUCAAGUCCAACAAGCAAGUAGCGUGAGAUUACAGGAUGGAUUUUCAUUCGUUGAAUUAAAUCAUCAAUUACUCUCGCUAUUUACCAAUGACAUGAUCAAAAUCAAUUGCUUGGACCGAAAUUCUUAUUGAACGAUUAUGGAAUGCUAUUCAAAGGCCCUGGAUUGUGCACUAUGCGAUGUUCGUAAUCGCUAAAUGAGAUAUUUUCGAUGUAGGUAGUCUUGCAUACAAUGUUAUACUGCAGCUGUUAUUUGAACUGAGUAUAUUUGUUUUGAUGUGCAGGGGAUCUCAUUAAGUCGUUUAUACAACGGGUCUGUGGGUUAUUUUGAACUUGAGCUUUGUAAAACAGUUUUGACGGAACACAAAUGUCUUUAUGUUUCAUGAGAAAAGACUUGAUAUCAGAUUUUAUUUCACCAAUUCUCAAAAGUCUCACCAAUUAAGUAUCAAUAGCAUCGGUCAACGAUACAUCUCCUUCGCCAUUGACUUAUCACACCUACCUCAUGUCAUGUGCGCCCAGGUAUUCUUUCCCCAGACGUAUUAUAUCCACUGGACCAGGUAUAUUAAGUUAAUCUAUUGCCCUGGCAACUAUAAACGGUAGCCAACAUUCGUACAGCAGUUCCUACUGUUAUUUUGGAUGUGCUAUGUGAUUAUGGAAUGAAGCAUUGUACUGUCUGUGAAGUCAUUUGGUUUAUUUGACAAUUCUCUGUUGUGACAUGUCUAUACUUGAUCAUUGACUCGAUGUGCGCCAGCACAUGGCAUAGUAUGUUACUGAAAAAUAUGAAUCUUAUUGGAAUAUGUACGUACCUUGGUAUGCAUGCUCACCAAUAAUAGUGGGAACCAACAAGCUGCAUAAUUGUACUGUGCAUUGUUUUCAGAUGGAGCAGGAGACACAGACACGGGUCGUCAGGUGGUACAUCACGUGACGCAAUUGACUAUAGAACGGGAUACAUAAAAUCUCAUUUAC